rnacentral:rRNA from 1 species
CAGCCGCCGCGGUAAUACGUAGGGUGCGAGCGUUAAUCGGAAUUACUGGGCGUAAAGCGUGCGCAGGCGGUGAUGUAAGACAGAUGUGAAAUCCCCGGGCUCAACCUGGGAACUGCAUUAGUGACUGCAUCGCUGGAGUGCGGCAGAGGGGGAUGGAAUUCCGCGUGUAGCAGUGAAAUGCGUAGAUAUGCGGAGGAACACCGAUGGCGAAGGCAGCCCCCUGGGCCAACACUGACGCUCAUGCGCGAAAGCGUGGGGAGCAAACAGGAUUAGAUACCCCAGUAGUCCCUGUCUCUUAUAC